GAUGAACGCUGGCGGCGUGCUUAACACAUGCAAGUCGAACGGAAAGGCCCUUGUUUGGUGUGGUGCUCGAGUGGCGAACGGGUGAGUAACACGUGGGUAACCUGCCCUGCACUUUGGGAUAACUUUGGGAAACUGGGUCUAAUACCGGAUAGGAGCUCCUUCUGGAUGGUGGGGUGGGGAGUGUUUCGGCGGUUGGGGAUGGACUCGGGGCUUAUCAUUUUGUUGGUGGGGUAGUGGCUUAACAAGGCUUCGGCGGGGCGCCGGCCUGGGGGGGUGACCGGCCACGUUGGGCUUGGAAUAGGGCCAGGCGCCUUCGGGGAGGAAGAAGGGGGGAAUAUGGCAAAAUGGGGGGAAGCCGGAUGAGGCAACGCCGCGUGCGGGAUGAGGGCUUUCGGGUGGUAAACCGCUUUGGCAUGUGCCGAAGCGUGAGUGACGGUAAUGGGUAAAGAAGCACCGGCUAACUACGUG
rnacentral:rRNA from 1 species